GACUUAAGUAGUCCAAAGCAAUUAUUUGUUUUUUUUUUUCCACAGCACACAGCUUUGAUUCUCAAGACUUUUUCUGCUUCAUGGUCUGUCCUCCACUUAACAUGAAGAAAAUAAAAUUGUAAUUGUAUUUGUUCAUUGGAGAAAAUAAAAGAUUACUAGAUGCCAUCCACAGCUGCUCUGCAGAGUCAUGGAAGAUAGUUAUCAUAUGCACCUGUACGAAAGUAGAAAUUGAAAUAGAGUCAUACUGCAUCGCUAGGACAAAUAUACCAACAAAGAAAAAUGAGAUGAAACAGUCCCAGAGAAGUCAGAUGAG
rnacentral:lncRNA from 1 species